GGAUGUGAGGGUUGAUUGGGAUGAUCUGGCUGGCUAGGCGGAUGUCCCUUUCCUCCUUCACCACUCCAUGUGCAUCCCUCCCUAAGCUGUGCUGCACUCAGUCAAAGAAGACGGCCUUCCCCAAAUAGAGAAAGACUGGUCUUUGGUCCAGGGUAAAGGAGUAGCUGUGCUCCCCUGCUAGAAUCUCUAAACAAGCUCACCAAGAAUAAGAUGCUAAGCAAAUAAAGACGGGAUUGGAGGGAGGGGUCAGGAAACCUGACUCAGGUUAAACUCUGUACUGUUUGUUUCU
rnacentral:snRNA from 1 species